CAGCAGCCACGGUAAUACGUAGGUGGCAAGCGUUGUCCGGAAUUAUUGGGCGUAAAGGGCUCGCAGGCGGUUUCUUAAGUCUGAUGUGAAAGCCCCCGGCUCAACCGGGGAGGGUCGUUGGAAACUGGGAAACUUGAGUGCAGAAGAGGAGAGUGGAAUUCCACGUGUAGCGGUGAAAUGCGUAGAGAUGUGGAGGAACACCAGUGGCGAAGGCGACUCUCUGGUCUGUAACUGACGCUGAGGAGCGAAAGCGUGGGGAGCGAACAGGAUUAGAUACCCGAGUAGUCCCUGUCUCUUAUAC
rnacentral:rRNA from 1 species